UACGGAGGGAGCUAGCGUUGUUCGGAAUUACUGGGCGUAAAGCGCACGUAGGCGGCUUCUUAAGUCAGGGGUGAAAUCCUGGAGCUCAACUCCAGAACUGCCUUUGAUACUGGGAGGCUCGAGUCCGGGAGAGGUGAGUGGAACUGCGAGUGUAGAGGUGAAAUUCGUAGAUAUUCGCAAGAACACCAGUGGCGAAGGCGGCUCACUGGCCCGGUACUGACGCUGAGGUGCGAAAGCGUGGGGAGCAAACAGG
rnacentral:rRNA from 1 species